rnacentral:ribozyme from 11 species
CCUGCGUGAGGAAGCUCCUCCUCCCCGCCUGGUUGGUGGUCGGCGCCAUAUUGGCGAUGAGGGAGAUGAAACGGCUUGGGUACAC